rnacentral:rRNA from 1 species
AGGAUAAACGCUGGCGGCGUGCCUAAAACAUGCAAGUCGAACGGAUGCUAGCCUUCGGGCUGGUGUGAGUGGCGAACGGCUGAGUAACACGUGGGUGACCUGCCCUCGAGCGGGGGAUAACUGCCCGAAAGGGUGGCUAAUACCGCAGAUGUCGCGUCUUCGUUGAUGUGACUGAACCGAUUUUAGGGUUCGAGGAGGGGCCUGCGGCCGAUUAGCUAGCUGGUGGGGUAAUGGCCUACCAGGGCAUCGAUCGGUAGCUGGUCUGAGAGGAUGAUCAGCCAGACUGGGACUGCGAACGGCCCAGACUCCUACGGGAGGCAGCAGUUAGGAAUUUUGGGCAAUGGGCGCAAGCCUGACCCAGCAACGCCGCGUGGGUGAAGAAGGCCCUUGGGUCGUAAAGCCCGUUUUCCGAAGGGUAAGGAAGUAGUGGACGGUACCCGUACGGAAGUCACGCCCGGCCGUAACUACGUACGCCGACGCGACGCCGGC